UACGGAGGGUGCAAGCGUUGUCCGGAAUUAUUGGUCGUAAAGCGCGCGCAGGCGGUUCUUUAAGUCUGGUGUCUAAGUGCGGGGCUCAACCCCGUGAUGCACUGGAAACUGGGGAACUUGAGUGUAGGAGAGGAAAGUGGAAUUCCACGUGUAGCGGUGAAAUGCGUAGAGAUGUGGAGGAACACCAGUGGCGAAGGCGACUUUCUGGCCUAUAACUGACGCUGAGGCGCGAAAGCGUGGGGAGCAAACAGG
rnacentral:rRNA from 1 species